CAGAGGGUGCGAGCGUUGUUCGGAAUUACUGGGCGUAAAGCGCGCGCAGGCGGCCUUUUAAGUCUACCCGUGAAAUGCCGGAGCUCAACUCCGUGCACGCCGGGGGAUUCUGGGAGGCUGGAGACAUGUAGAGGCAAGCGGAAUUCCGGGUGUAGCGGUGGAAUGCGUAGAUAUCCGGAAGAACACCUGAGGCGAAGGCGGCUUGCUGGGCAUGAUCUGACGCUGAGGCGCGAAAGCGUGGGGAGCAAACAGGAUUAGAUACCCUGGUAGUCCACGCCGUAAACGAUGGGCACUAGACGCGGGUGGGAUCGACCCCUUCCGUGUCGCAGCUAACGCGAUAAGUGCCCCGCCUGGGGAGUACGGCCGCAAGGCUG
rnacentral:rRNA from 1 species